AACCUAGCACACCUGCGGUGUGUACCUGCGGAGGGAUCAUUACCGAGUUUACAACUCCCAAACCCCUGUGAACAUACCUAUACGUUGCCUCGGCGGAUCAGCCCGCGCCCUGUAAAACGGGACGGCCCGCCCGAGGACCCCUAAACUCUGUUUUUAGUGGAACUUCUGAGUAAAACAAACAAAUAAAUCAAAACUUUUAACAACGGAUCU
rnacentral:misc_RNA from 1 species